ensembl:lncRNA
GUGAGGAGGUGUACUGCCAUUGAUGCUAAGUCCACAGGCCUCAUUAUUUUAUGACUUUGAUGCAGCCAUGUGUCCCCUCAUUCCUGAUAUAAUUUGACAGUCUCAUAGGACUCCCAUCUCCCAUUAUUGUGGUCCCUGAGUACCAUCUGGAACCUGCCCUAUUCGGCAGUCUUGCUUACUUGUGAAGACUGCAACCCAGCUUUUAGCUGGAAAUGCCAAAGGGUGCAUGGGAACAGUCAGAAGACACCAUUUGAUAUUCAAUGACUUCAGGAAAAAUCACUAAGCUGCCUUUCUGUGCUUUCCAGUCUGGUGUCAAUCAGCCCUGGUAAGCCAUUAUCUGAGGAACUUCUCUAUGUCCACCACAACCCUUGGGUCACCAAGGAUGUAUCCAGGCUCAGAUAGGGCUCCAGGACCAAGCUGCACUGAAAGAUUCAAGGAUUUAUCAAAUGAACCUUCUAUUCUCAUACCAGUAGUCAACAGAUCCACUUACAAGUUCCCCCCACUAUAGACAGCUCCACCCACUGCUGUGGCUCUCCGUCUUCGUCCUGUUUAUACCUAACUUAUGCCUCUAUGCUGCCCUCACAAAAGUGCUUUCUUGCUGGGCACAAGAGGUUGGGUACCUAGGAUCCAUUGACUGAGGAAGGAGGAUGUCUGUUGUCGCAACCCACCGGUUGAGAACCUGUGAGAUAGUACAUGAUUUUUUUUCUCAUGGCCGUGACCACAUACCUGGCAAGAAGCAAAUGUGAGUGAUGAGAGAGCAGGCCUGGAUUGCCAGCCGAGAAGUAAUGAGUCACAAACAAGAGAGAGCAAGUUCUGUUGCUGCCCGCCUCCCUCUGGAGACGCACAGAUAAAACUCACAGAGCUGAAAUGAUACUAUCAAAAGCAUGCUGCACGAGAUAAACAAGACUAGUGUACCUAUGUG